rnacentral:rRNA from 1 species
AUACGGAGGGUGCAAGCGUUACUCGGAAUCACUGGGCGUAAAGCGCGCGCAGGCGGCUAUUUAAGUUGGAUGUGAAAGCCUAUGGCUCAACCAUAGAACUGCAUCCAAAACUAUUUAGCUAGAGUGUGGGAGAGGAAGAUGGAAUUAGUUGUGUAGGGGUAAAAUCCGUAGAGAUACCUAGGAAUACCAAAAGCGAAGGCAAUCUUCUGGAACACUACUGAAGCUGAGGCGCGAAAGCGUGGGGAGCAAACAGGAUUAGAAACCCUAGUAGUCC